CACAGUACUGACAAAUUGACAGGCUUGAUCCACGCCUGUACAGUUUCCUAUUGAACGCUGUGAGAUAAAUGAAAGCGUCGGCUAAGCUAUGUUAUGCGAAUGUAUAUGAAAAGUUUGUUCAGUGUAACACGCAGCCUCGUUACAAUU
rnacentral:snoRNA from 1 species